rnacentral:lncRNA from 1 species
AAUUUUUUUUAUUUCUCUUUAGAAAACUACAAAGUUUAGUUAUCUAUUCAAACAAGAUAUACAAAUUACUAAUAGAUUUAAUGAAAUCUCAAAGAAGCCCACGUUCAAGGUAUUACUCAGUAAAUACAUAUCUUAUAUAUCUUAACUUAAGAUUUACUAUUCUAGCUUAAUUCAAAUUGAAUUUUUUUGAAUCCUUUUAUUUGCGAGGAGCUGGAUGAGAAGAAACUCUCACGUCCGGUUCUGUAGUAGAGAUGGAAUUCAGAACCAACCAUCAACUAUAACCCCAAAAGAACCAGAUUCCGUAAACAACAUAGAGGCAGAAUGAAGGGAAUAUCUUAUCGAGGUAAUCGUAUUUCUUUCGGUAAAUAUGCUCUUCAGGCACUUGAACCUGCUUGGAUUACAUCUCGACAAAUAGAAGCAGGCCGACGGGCAAUGACACGAAAUGCACGUCGUGGUGGAAAAAUAUGGGUACGUAUAUUUCCAGACAAACCUGUUACAUUAAGACCGGCAGAAACCCGUAUGGGUUCAGGAAAAGGAUCCCCUGAAUAUUGGGUAGCUGUUGUUAAACCGGGGCGAAUACUUUAUGAAAUGGGUGGAGUAACAGAAAAUAUAGCCAGAAGGGCUAUUUCACUAGCAGCAUCCAAAAUGCCUAUACGAACUCAAUUCAUUAUUUCGUAAUGUAAUAGAAAAAAAUGUAGAAAGGGCUCUUAGAUAUGAAAGAAAACCGCAUGUUUCUUUUUUUUGGACAAAAAUAUUUCUUUUUUUUUCUUCGCCCUUUGCAUUCAAAGAACGGAUUAAAAAAAUGAUUCAACCUCAGACCCAUUUAAAUGUAGCGGAUAAUAGCGGGGCUCGAGAAUUGAUGUGUAUUCGAAUCAUAGGAGCUAGCAAUCGUCGAUAUGCUCAUAUUGGUGACGUUAUUGUUGCUGUGAUCAAAGAAGCAGUACCAAAUAUGCCCCUAGAAAGAUCAGAAGUAGUCAGAGCUGUAAUUGUGCGUACCUGUAAAGAACUCAAACGUGACAACGGGAUGAUAAUACGAUACGAUGACAAUGCUGCAGUUGUUAUUGAUCAAGAAGGAAAUCCAAAAGGAACUCGAAUUUUUGGUGCAAUCGCCCGGGAAUUGAGAGAAUUAAAUUUUACUAAAAUAGUUUCAUUAGCUCCCGAGGUAUUAUAAAAUGAAAUUGUGAUCUGUUUCGAGUGGGGUAUUUGAAAGAAAUAGAUUAAUUAGUAGAUUGUGUCUCACGCAUAUAUCUUUAAUAAUUCAUAUCAUAUUCAAAAAUAAAUAAGUAAAAAACACGUUGAUUAUAUCAAAUUUGGAGACCCCAAUAAUUUUAGUUCAUCAUGGGCAGGGACACUAUUGCUGAGAUAAUAACUUCUAUACGAAAUGCUGAUAUGGAUCGAAAAAGGGUGGUUCGAAUAGCAUCUACUAAUAUUACCGAAAAUAUUGUUCAAAUACUUUUACGAGAGGGUUUUAUCGAAAACGUGAGAAAACAUCGAGAAAACAACAAAUACUUUUUGGUUUUAACCCUGCGACAUAGAAGGAAUAGGAAAAGACCCUAUAGAAAUAUUUUAAAUUUAAAACGAAUCAGUCGACCUGGUCUACGAAUCUAUUCUAAUUAUCAACGAAUUCCGCGAAUUUUAGGUGGAAUGGGGAUUGUAAUUCUUUCUACUUCUCGAGGUAUAAUGACAGACCGAGAGGCUCGACUAGAAGGAAUAGGUGGAGAAAUUUUGUGUUAUAUCUGGUAAUCCUUUAUAAUAUGCAAAUUGAAUUCGAAACUUCCUAUUUGCGAAAAAGGGGGGGAGAGUUAUCUAAUAUCUUUCGCAUUAGUUGAUACCUCAAAGGAACUUUGUUUUAUACAGAUACUGCCAGGAGAUAGAGUCAAAAUUGAAGUAAGUCCUUAUGAUUCAACCAAAGGACAUAUAAUUUAUCGACUCCACAACAAAGAUUUGAAGGAUUAGGUUUUCAACUUCACCAUUCCUUUCGUGGGAAUACAAUUCGAGAUGAAAAAUUUCAAGAAACUUAUUUUCUUCCAAGAAAUAGAUUCAGAAUUAAGGUAAGGAAUGAUAAAUAUGAAAAUAAGAGCUUCCGUUCGUAAAAUUUGUGAAAAAUGUCGACUAAUCCGUAGGAGGGGGCGCAUUAUAGUAAUUUGUUCCAACCCGAGACAUAAACAAAGACAGGGCUAAUCAGACUUGCCAGAAGAGCCGAUGUACAAAUAAAGAAUCUGUUUUGACAUGAAAUGGAUAUAUCCAUAUAUCUCUGACUCAUAUUUACGAGAUGAUAAAAUAUGGCAAAAGCUAUACCGAAAAUUAGUUCGCGUCGGAAUGGACGUAUUAGUUCACGUAAGGGUGCACGUAGAAUACCAAAGGGAGUUAUUCAUGUUCAAGCAAGUUUCAAUAAUACCAUUGUCACUGUUACAGAUGUACGGGGUCGAGUAGUUUCUUGGUCCUCAGCUGGUACUUCUGGAUUCAAAGGUACGAGAAGAGGAACACCGUUUGCUGCUCAAACCGCAGCAGCAAACGCUAUCCGUACAGUAGUGGAUCAAGGUAUGCAACGAGCAGAAGUCAUGAUAAAAGGUCCCGGUCUCGGAAGAGAUGCAGCAUUACGAGCUAUUCGUCGCAGUGGUAUACUAUUAACUUUCGUACGGGAUGUAACUCCGAUGCCACAUAAUGGCUGUAGACCUCCGAAAAAAAGACGUGUGUAGAACUGAACAUUGAAGAAAUCUCAAGAGAAAUAAAAGAUUCGAUGAUCUAAUCAAAUAAUAGUACUAUGGUUCGAGAGAAAGUAACAGUAUCUACUCGGACACUACAGUGGAAGUGUGUUGAAUCAAGAACAGACAGUAAACGCCUUUAUUAUGGACGCUUUAUUCUGUCUCCACUUAUGAAAGGCCAAGCCGACACAAUAGGCAUUGCGAUGCGAAGAGCUUUACUUGGGGAAAUAGAAGGAACAUGUAUCACACGUGUAAAAUCUGAGAAAGUACCACAUGAAUAUUCUACCAUAACGGGCAUUCAAGAAUCGGUACAUGAAAUUUUAAUGAAUUUGAAAGAGAUUGUAUUGAGAAGUAAUUUAUAUGGAACUUCUGAGGCGUCUAUUUGUGUCAAGGGUCCUGGAUAUGUAACUGCUCAAGAUAUCAUCUUGCCACCUUAUGUGGAAAUCGUUGAUAAUACACAACAUAUAGCUAGUUUAACGGAACCAAUUGAUUUUUGUAUUGGAUUACAAAUAGAGAGAAAUCGUGGAUAUCUUAUAAAAACGCCACAUAACUUUCAAGAUGGAAGUUAUCCUAUAGAUGCUGUAUUCAUGCCUGUUCGAAACGCGAAUCAUAGUAUUCAUUCUUAUGGGAAUGGGAAUGAAAAACAAGAGAUACUUUUUAUCGAAAUAUGGACAAACGGAAGUUUAACUCCGAAAGAAGCACUUCAUGACGCAUCCCGAAAUUUAAUUGAUUUAUUUAUUCCCUUUUUACAUAUGGAGGAAGACAACUUAUAUUUACAGGACAAUCAACACACGGUUCCUUUAUCCCCUUUUACCUUUCAUGAUAAAUUGGCUAAACUCAUAAAAAACAAAAAAAAAAUAGCAUUGAAAUCGAUUUUUAUUGACCAAUCAGAAUUGUCUUCCAGGAUCUAUAAUUGCCUCAAAAUGUCCAAUAUAUAUACAUUAUUGGACCUUUUGAAUAACAGCCAAGAAGAUCUUAUGAAAAUUGAACAUUUUCGUAGCGAAGAUAUAAAACAGAUAUUGGACAUUUUAGAAAAAUAUUUCGUAAUUGAUUUAGCAAAAAAUAAGUUUUAAAUCUAUUGGACUUACUUAGUGAAAAUAGAUUGAAAAAGCACAAUUUAGCACAAUUAAUAUAUCAUAUAUUAGAUAUUAGAAAGAAAUUAAUAAUGAAAUUGAAUAGAUGUAUCUAGGGAGAAUUCGCUUUGAAGAAACUAUUCCCUAGAUACACAUGUCGUGUUAGUUCACAAUUGAAUCAAUUAAAAAAUUUAAAAAAGACCUAAAGUUAGGGAUUUAUCAAUAGGUAAUGUUGCACCAAUGCCCAACCAAAGGGCGACUGCGGUACCAAUCAAAAAGACAGUCGUCGCUACUGGACGGCGAAAUGGAUUUUGGAAUUUAUUAACAUUCUCUAAAAAAGGUACUGUUAAUAAUCCCGCAGGUACUGAAACCAUUAAAAGAACCCCCAAUAAUUUAUUGGGCACUGUACGAAGUAUUUGAAAUACAGGAAAGAAAUACCAUUCAGGUAAGAUUUCCAAAGGGGUUGCAAAUGGAUCCGCUGGUUCACCAAUCAUUGAUGGUUCUAAAACGGCUAAGCCUACAUUACAUGCAAUAGUACCUAGAAUUACUACUGGAAAAAUAUAUAAAAGAUCAUUGGGCCAUGCGGGCUCGCCAUAAUAAUUAUGACCCAUACCCUUAGCCAAUUUAGCUCUUAAUACAGGAUCAUUCAAGUCAGGUUUUUUUGUUAUUGGGAUAGGUGAAUUCUUAUAGAUCCAUCCCCCGAGGGAACUGGACAUGAUAAUUUUUAAUCAUCCAGCUCGAGCAAGAAUAAAAAGAACCAAACGAAUCCAUAUAUCCAUAGAAAAUAUCUAUAUGGUACCUGUAUUUACACAUACACAUAUAUGAUAUAGGAAUGGUUCAAUAUAAGAAAAAUUUGACUGAAUUCUUUUUUAUGGAGUUGCAACUCUCCAUUACAAAACAAAGAAUUCCGUUCUUACAAGUAAAUACUCAAGACCCAAGUAGGCUUACAAAUCAGAUCAUGAUAUGAUCAAGUGCUUUCUGGGUCGUCUCAGACCUUCUAAUUGGUAUUUAUCUCCAAAAUGCUUGGAGAUACACAUACAAGGUUUGCUUGUUACUAAUAUAGUCUAGCCUCUCUUCUUCUUUAGAUCCCUUGUUUCACUCCGAUAGUAGUAUUGAUCGUGUCAAUGCAGAGGAAAUGAAUACAUUUACAUACUAUUAAAUCUUCUAAGUGAACUAGAUAAAAGGGAAUCUUGAUUCCCUUUUAUCUAGUUCACUUAUACUA